rnacentral:lncRNA from 1 species
UAGAAAGACCUGGCUUUGAAUCUCAGCUCCCAAUUUCCUAGUUAUAUGAUUCUGGGAAAAUCCAUUAACUUCUUUAAAUGUCAGUUUUCUUCUCUGAAAAAUGGAUAUAAAGCCAUCUCCAUGCUUCUUGUGAGGAUUAAAUCAAACACUAUAUAAAGUAUUUGAACAUAUAAAUGAGACACUAUGUCACCAGCACAUGGGUGCUUAAUAAAUACAAGGGUCCUCUUGCCCAUACAGACGAGAAGUAUUAUUAUCCCAAGAAUAGCAUUUUUCAGUCGUCUGUAUGCUCCCAGGACAUUUCUCCGUCCCAGUUCUCAUUGCCUUUCCUGCUUCUGUCUGGGCUGGAGAGGCCAGAGCUGUGGUAAGUGCAGCCCAAGUUCACUGUCCGGCUUCAGCCUUCCUCCACCGGUCACGGAGCUCCACCUCCUCUCUGUGUGGAGACACUCCUAGUGGGACCCAUGAUCCAGUUACAAUCAUAUGCUCUCCAAGCUUUGGUACCAACACUUACUGAUCCUAUGUGCCAGAUACUCUGCUGGCUUCCAGAUACUGAGGAGCCCGCUGCCUUGUGACAUGGAGAGGGAAGAACAGGGGCUGUAGGAGCAGAGAAAUAGCACCUAACCCAGCAGUCUAGAGGGCUUCCAGACAGAACGUGGAUCCCUCCAAACCGAGGGGGUGCGCCCGGUGACGCCAAGGCCUCUUUCUGCUCUGAAAUGCCAUGGUGCCCUGCCUAUGGCCUUGUAUGGAACGGGGAACAGAAAUCAGGGAUUAACAAGCUGGAAAAACUCAAAGGAGAGGUCACUGGAAAAUUACUAAGAGUAACUCAAGAGCUUAAAAAAUACGCCAGAUGCCACAGAAUCAGAGAACACCUGACAGAUGUCGAAACGGGUGAAGCGCUUUGCCCAGGUCACCCCCCCAGCUUGGGUGUUUAUGCAUCUAUGUCACCACUGACUCCUGCUGGGUCAGGGUUCAUGCCCUUGUCUGUGCCAUGGACCCUUCUGGCAAUCUGGGGAAGCCUAGCGACGGAUUCCAUCUCAGAACGAUGAUUUCAAAUACAUGAAGUAAAAAGCUUUAGUUCCCUUCUCAGAAUAGUGAUUUUAAAUGCAUGAAUUAAAAUACAUAGACACAUGAAAUAACCAAUUCUACUUGAGUUAUUAAAAUAAUUUAAAAAUACAAAACAGUAAUACGUGCUUCAUUUUUAACAUAUUAAACAAUUAAAUUUAUUCCCAUAAUUUCUAAGUAGUGAUAUGUAAAUUGUUUU